rnacentral:rRNA from 1 species
GACGUAGGGCGCGAGCGUUGUCCGGAUUUAUUGGGCGUAAAGAGCUCGUAGGCGGCUUGUCGCGUCGACUGUGAAAACCCGUGGCUCAACCAUGUGGUCUGCAGUCGAUACGGGCAGGCUAGAAUUCGGUAGGGGAGACUGGAAUUCCUGGUGGAGCGGUGAAAUGCGUAGAUAUCACUAGGAACGCCGGUGGCGAAAGCGCCCGACUGGACCUCUUCUGACGCUGAGGCGCGAAAGCCAGGGGAGCAAACGGG